ensembl:lncRNA
AUUCAAAGGCAGUCCCUGGUAAACAGUUUCCCCUUAAAUGUUGUAUUUCAACCUGAAGCAGUUAUGUGCACAAGUUACAUAAAAUAACUCAAUGUCCCUAUGGGCUAUAAACUACCUUGAUCAUUGUAUGUUUAAGAAGAUACUUAAAUGAGAUUAAUGCAAUCAAUGCAAGAUUAACAAUAUUAAAAAUUUCCAUAACACUCCUCCCUUUUGAUCAUUAUUGAUCACUUAUAUUGAUUAAAUGUAGAUAAAUUUGUGAACACUUUACCCUUAUAGUUUACAUCAAUCAUGUAAAUUCAAGAUUUAAAACACCAUUACUCUCAUAAGGCGAAAAAAAAAAGCAUUUGCAUUGUUUUUUAUGGAAUAUAGUCAUUCCUAACAUAUAAGCAAGCUAUAAAGAAAACAAACAACUCUUAUAUUUGAUUAUAGCUGUCAACCUGUGAAUUGCAUUAGUCAUGUUCUUAAUACCCACAUCUAUCAUGUGGCCAUCAGCAUUGUUAUCAGGAAUAUAAAUACACAUGCAGUUCCCAAAAGUACACACACCCCCCCACCCAGGAGAUGUGGUGAGCUGGUCCAGGACAAGUCAGUCUUGCAGUGCAGUGAGCCUCAGCCCUCGUAGUUCCUUCUUGACGCCUUCCCUCACCACCUUAGUAUUGUUCAGUUCAUAUCUCCUGAUUUGGAAUUCAAUUUGAAGAAGGCUGACCCCAAGCGCCAGAAUUACAGCAUGGAAGAACUUCUCCGCUCCGUUCCACAGCCUGUUUUCCCUCUUGUCGAGUUGGUCGUGUAGUUUUGCUGCAGUGGUCGGAUGGUAUAUUUCCCAACAGCUUAAGUCCCUCGAUGUCAUCCGUUGGCCCAAACUGACCCCAGAUCACUCCCACACAGUGAUGUUGCUGUGUGUUCAGCUCCCAUACACCACUGUAUGUUUGUUCACCUAAGUCAGCCAGACGUCCCCCUUAACUCAUGUGAUCUAGGCCAUGUAUAAGUUUUGCAUAGUGUGGGAAAAAGUGUUUUGGUAGACAUGGUCUGCCUUCAGUACUCAGCCAAAGGUUGUUUAUCAGUUUGCACUUGGCCUUCACCCAUUGUUUCUUCUCCUCUGCUGUGGCAAAAGCUUGCAUGCUGUAAGAGAAUCAGAAGUGAGUGUGAAUAAGUCAUUGUUAAGUGUUACACAGGUAAAAGAAGGCUCUGUUUAACACGGUCAGGGUUAACAGUAGUCUGUGGCUGGAGUAUGCUGACUGGUUCGGUCUUCUGACUGCUCUGAGGCAUCUCACGAACUUUUUCAAGGUUAUUGGAAUUUCAAAAUCAGUCUCACUGUUUGUAGCACGCGUUUUUCUGAUCCGUUGAGAAAACCAGCAGUGAAGGUCCACAAGCCCUCAGACGUCAGUCCCCCCUUCCCUGAAACCUUUUGGGGUUUAGGGCUAAACCCUUUGUGGGUCUAGGGUGAUCAGCCAACUAACGUCCUCAGGUCCCGGACGAUCAGCUGUGGAAUCCCGUCACUCGUCGCCAAGUUUGUUGUGGAAAUUCUAAUUCAAUAACAAUUUGUAG